GCAUAGCUCAGUGGUAGAGCAUCUGCCUUGCAAGCAGAAGGCCACGGGUUCAGUCCUCAGCAUCUCCA